rnacentral:lncRNA from 1 species
AUGACAUGGCCCUUAGGAGAAGAGGGGGCCACAAAUGUUUACUAAGCACGUCCUAUGAGCCAGGCUUUGUGCUCCGUCUUGUUUCAUCUUCACAACUCUGCAUAUAUUAUUAUUUUGCAGAUGAUGAAUCUGAGACGCAAAGGAGCUGAGAUAGCUCCAGGGGAGAAGAAACACAAUUGAAGAGAGCAUAUCAUUAUGAAGUGCCAAGCCUGGCUGUCCCUGGCAGAAAUGCAACAGAGACUAGGGAGUGAGAGAGACAGGCAAGCAAAAGCUGUAGCAGAUGGUCAGGAGAAGCCCACGGAAGACUCUGCUAGUGAUGGCUCCCUAUUCAGAUCCAAGGGCUGGCGCGGGAGGUAUCAGUGGAGAUAGGAGCACGCCAUCCUCAGCCUCACAGGUUGCUUCGGUUUGAAUUUCAACGAGGGGAGCCUGCCAAGAUCAGGCAGUAAAAUACGGACUGGAUCAUAAAUCCCAGCAGGGGUGGGAGAGCGUAAGACAGAUUGCUAACACCUUUAAAAAGAAAUUUUAAACAAAAAAGGCGAAGCAGGCCCCAUGGGCUCUUCAUCCAAAGCCAGCGAUGUUUCUCUGGGAUGUGUCUUGGAGAUAAGGCAGAAAUACUCUCAAAUGAGCACCUUCCAAAAAGUCGAGUCUUUCUGCAUCCUUCCCUCUGGAGUGACCGCUCAUGCCGCUCAUCAAAGUCUCCUUUCAUCAGCGCCAGGCCACGGGAAAUAAACGCAACUGGGAGCAAGGAGCUUGAAGCUGUAAGAAGAAAGCCAUGUGUUUCCUUCCUAAGACUAAAAUGAUUUCCCUACGAGGAAUAAAGAGCUUUUACAAACUUUCUGCAUGGAUACGUCUUGGAGGGGCGCACGCUGAUUUCUCUCACACCCGCACUGUGCACCAAGUGGAGAAACAGAAGCCCUUAUUUGCUUGGUUUUGUAACAGGUUCACUAUAUUUGAGCAUAGACAGAAAAGUAGACGGCCUUAUAACAGAGCUUAUUAUUACCCCGAUUUGGAUAAACCACAGGUCACAUCACGUCGGCUGAAACAUAACCG